UACGUAGGUGACAAGCGUUGUCCGGAUUUACUGGGCGUAAAGAGCGCGCAGGCGGUCGUUCAAGUCGAGUGUGAAAGCCCCCGGCUCAACUGGGGAGGGUCACUCGAUACUGAUCGACUCGAAGGCAGGAGAGGGAAGUGGAAUUCCCGGUGUAGUGGUGAAAUGCGUAGAUAUCGGGAGGAACACCAGUGGCGAAAGCGCUCUACUGGGCCAUAACUGACACUGAGGGACGAAAGCUAGGGGAGCGAAAGGG
rnacentral:rRNA from 1 species